GGGUCUUAUGAGCUGGCUUUUCGCGAAGCACUGUGCUCGGGCCCCGCUCCAAUCCACUCAACCCCUGUGCACUUUCGGAGUUGCGGGUCCUUUGUAGUGAAGGCCCGUGGCUUCGUCUCUUAUCACAAACCAUAUGUAUUAUUGUUUUGUAGAACGUGGAUGCCUGCAAAGGCGGAAACUCAAUACAACUUUCAACAACGGAUCUCUUGGCUCUCGCAUCGAUGAAGAACGCAGCGAAAUGCGAUAAGUAAUGUGAAUUGCAGAAUUCAGUGAAUCAUCGAAUCUUUGAACGCACCUUGCGCUCCUGGACUUGUUUCAGGAGCAUGCCUGUUUGAGUGUCAUGAAGCUCUCAAGCAGAAUCCUUUAUUGUGAUUCUUGUUUGGAUUUGAACUCUGCCGUGUUAAAGCGGCUGGUUCUAAAAGCAUUAGCUGGUCCUUGAUUUUCUUGGUUCUACUCGGCGUGAUAAUUAUCUAACGUUGAGGACAUCUCUUUAUUGAGGUGGCCAGGGUUUUCUAUGGGUUGCUUCUAAUCGUCUUCACAGACAAUAUAUUUCAAUAUCUGACCUCGAAUCAGGUGGGACUACCCGCUGAACUUAAGCAUAUCAAUAAGCGGAGGAAAAGAAACUAACAAGGAUUCCCCUAGUAACGGCGAGUGAAGCGGGAUGAGCUCAAAUUUAAAAAUCUGGCGGUCUUUGGCCGUCCGAGUUGUAAUCUA
rnacentral:rRNA from 1 species